rnacentral:lncRNA from 1 species
UCAGUGAAUACUCUAGGACAAAACUUGACGAUUCAGUAAAUGCAAAUGCAUUGUUGAUGGCUUCUCAGGUGAAUAAAGAAAAGGAAACAGUUAAGGCCAAUGAAUCGACAAGAUCACAAAGGCCAAGAGGGAGACCACGAAAGAAACCUGUGGAGAAGAUUGAUUCAGAGAGCCAAUAUGUGCAACCUCUGGCAAUUGACUACCCUGAAGAUUCAUCCAUAUUACAUUCUAUAGAGAGCGCUUCUGCAAAUACAAACGAACAUGAUGAUUCAGUUAAUGAAGAUGCAUUAUUGAUGGCUUUUCAGGUGAAUAAAGAAAAGGAAACACUUAAAUCCAACAAUUCAACAAAACCUCAAAGACUACGAAGGAGACCACUAAAGAAACCUGUAAAUGUACCUGUGGAGAAGAUUGAUUCUGAGAGCCAAUAUGUGCAACCUCUUGCAAUUGAGUACCCUGAAGAUUCAUCUAGAUUACAUUCUGUAGAGACGGAUUCCGCAAAUACGAAUGAACAAGUUGUCAGUGGAGACUCU